CGCCCGUUAGGACUCGCCCCGCCCAUCCGGCCUGUCCCGUUACUUCAGACGCCGCUGGCCCUGCCCCUCUCUCAGGCCCCGCGAGGCCCCGCCCCUCCCGGAUUUGUAGGCACAAAAGGACGAUCUAUCGAUUCAGUUUCCUGCUGGACUGCCAGCCAGAAAGCCAUAGAUGAGAAGGCACGCGGACUUAACUCGGCAAUAUUGUCUUCUGUUGUGGCCUGUUACCCAUCGCACCUGCAAGCUCCUUGAAAUCAGAAGCACGCUCUCAGAGUCGAUGGACUCGCCCCCGAGUGACCAACGUGGCCUUGCCAUUUGAGAGUGUAUGUGGCUUGAUGACCCUUCAGAACAUGUCCUUUCUUCGGGCUAACUUCUCCUAGGUGUGGAUGAGACACGUUGCAAAAAAAAAAAGCAACAUCUACUAAGGCAGCUCAAAGACUCUGUCGUGAACAGAUGAACUUGUGUGCUUCUUGUUUAAAUACCCUUGGUAGAAUUAAAUUUUCGUGUUGACCCCAACGAUGGCAUUAAUUACUGGUUUUCAAUUAUACUUCUCACACACACACACAAGAAAUAUUACUCAGAACUCAUUAUCAGUAAUAAAGAUACAAAACAUCCCUACAGCUGUUCCA